rnacentral:rRNA from 1 species
CCCUUAGAUGUCCUGGGCCGCACGCGCGCUACACUGACAUGUUCAACAAGCCUCCUAGUUCGACAGGAUUUGGGAAAUCUUUGAACGCAUGUCGUGAUAGGGAUAGAUCAUUGCAAUUAUUGAUCUUGAACGAGGAAUUCCUAGUAAACGCGAGUCAUCAGCUCGCAUUGAUUACGUCCCUGCCCUUUGCACACACCGCCCGUCGCACCUACCGAUUGAAUGUUUCGGUGAAGAUUCCGGAUAGGACUUUUUUGAUUUAUUUCAAUUCUGUCUUAAAAGCUAUCUAAACCUCAACAUUUAGAGGAAGGUGAAGUCGUAACA